CUUUGGCUUUCUCCUCUCCCUUGUCUCUCUUACGUCCACUCUCAAUUCAUAAACCGAAAAGGAAUCUAGCUUUAAAUUUUCUUCUUCUACGCUAGAAAAUUGAAAACAUUUUCAGUUUAGAUGUUUUUAUAUUUACUCAUAUUUACUAACCCUAAACCGAAUUGAAUCCACAUUUACUUUGCUUCUCCUGUAAACCAUGUCUUCACCAUUCAUUCUAAUGGCUUUCAUUUCUCUUUUACACUGAAUCAUUUAGAAGCUCUAGGGUUUUUGAGAAUUGAAAUUUUGGGGUUCUUUUUUUUUUUUUGGCAACUCCACUCUCUAGCCUCUAAUCUCUCCUUCUCUUGCAGAAACCUAGUCGGUAACUACAAUUCUUCCAUCUCAAGUGAGUCUCUUACGGUAUGAUUACUCUUUAGUAGGAUCUGCGGAAUCUGUUUUAAUGGUGGUGUUUUGAUGCAACAUGUUUGUUUGUCAUCCCGAAGAGUUACACUUGAAUUCUAUUAUGCAGCAAGGGAUGUUAUACUUCACUCUGCAAUCUCACUUUGCAAUUGGAAUCAUUAGAAGAUGGAAGAGUAUUUCUAAACCAAAGUUGAAAACCCAUGGUAUAUUAUGGAUGAUGUUAUUGUUGCUUGUUAAGCUGUGGAAUGUUAGAUAUUUGAGCUACUGAAAGGAUCAUGUAUCUAAUCAUGCAUCUUUGUAAGGAAAAUCGACAAUGAAUUAAAGAUUUGAGUCUCAUUCUUUCUA